CUCACACACCAGAGCACUGCCCUGUUCUGGAGGACUUUUGACCAGAGGUGGAGGUCUGGCUCUGGGUGAGGUGGUGGAGGUCUGGCUCUGGGUGAGGAGGUGGAGGUCUGGCUCUGGGUGAGGAGGUGGAGGUCUGGCUCUGGGUGAGGAGGUGGAGGUCUGGCUCUGGGUGAGGAGGUGGAGUUCUUGCUCUGGGUGAGGAGGCAGACACCUUGGGACAAACUACAUGUUACCUUUUCAACCUUGUACAGAUCUAGAGUUUCUUCUACUUUAACCUGUCGGAAAGACGCCCAUUAUUUUAGAUUGUGCCAAAGAACGCUAAGCAGUAUCGAUAUUAAAUAAAAUAUACUCAGCCAUAUUCAGGUGCUGGGUUCCGUUGAAGAAAUGCCAAAUCGUCUUCCACCUUGAAAUGAUUUCCAGCCUUCACCUAUGGUCAGAAAUGGGCCCGCAAGUCGAACGCCGUUUGGCACGCAGCGAGAGUCCCGUCAACGUGGUUAAAAGUACGGCGCAACCAUCGGAAAUUUUGAACAUAUUGUACGAUGUACGCGUCAGUAUGUAUUUAAUAUCAAACUUAAGUUGUUUAAGUUAAGGGGCAACAAAUCCCAAUGGAAACCGACUGAAAAAUAGUUUCCGUUAGCAACGGCUCGAGGUUACGCAAAUACAAUUCAGAACGUUCCGCCCGAUUCCCUCAGGGGACUCACGACCAACUAACUGCCAGGUGGGUUCUUAUGGUUGUCAAGACUACAAUGUUCUAUGCUAAGCAUUGAGACUAAAUCAAGUGAUCGCAUUCAGAACCUUCCACGGCGGGAUGCACAAAUCGUCCGACUGGAAUCCGAACAUUCCGGCCGGAACCAACCAAAGAAAAAACAGAACCAGCGCCUCACCUUGAGCUGAGCGGAGGAAGAUCCUGAAGUCCAGCGAUGGUCUUCAUUAAAACACAGCCAACAGACUUACCUUGAUGUGAUCUGUUUGUUGCUGUUGGUCAUUAACUAUUAGUGUACCUUUACAUUAUUAUGCACCCAGUGUGUACAAGUUAUGUCACUCAAAACCAUACGAAGAACCAAACUACCAUGUACGUCCCACAACAACUUAAACCUCAAAUUCUUGCCUAAAAACAAUGGAAUCAUUCAAUACAAAACCGGGUCUACAUCUUGAAAUAAACAGAACAAUUAUCGAGAUUAUUUAGGGUACAAACCAUAACGAGCACAUCUAAACGUUGAGCUCACAGAGAGCCGACCAUAGCCCUGCAACAUCACCCUGACCGCCUCAUCACCAACAGCAAAUCAUGCCAGACAGCCAACACAUGUACUGGUCCAGUGAGAAGUGGGCAUUUGAGCGAAAGGACUGCCCAUCGUAAAAAGAAGCCCAAUUCCUGAACUAUCCAACCAUCUUCAUGGUUUAAAGAUUUACAGACUUGACAUGCCAUUGUGUUCUAAUCAUCUUUGUCUUCUCCCUCGUUACUUAUAAAAAUCUACAUCUCCAACGCUAGAGUGUUGCAUCCUACUCAUGAGGGUGUGGUCUGAGUGAGAAGAGAUGCAUGCUGGGAUACAGUGCUGUCUGAAGUCUUCAGUUCUAUAGACACGCCCCUCAGGAGAAACCAAGUGUUUGAGAAACUGUCGUGACAUCAGUUACAUGAGCUGGAAUAUCCUUCAAGAUGGAGCCAGGAUUCUCAGAGGACAAAGGCCAAGAGGAAGAUGUGAGGGUUCUUCCUCUCAGCCAGUGGAACACAACAACGGUCUUCAUCAGAGUACCAUGGAACACUUUGAAACAUUCUCCUCUUUACACCUUGAAGCCCCAGUGAAGGUUUCCUUGCCUCCUCAGCUGAAGAGCACAACUUCAGCUGGAAGAGCACACUAGUUGGAGUUCCCAGAUUGGUUCUGAUUUAAGGGAACCAAUCGUUCAGCUAGUCCUCUACAAAACAAAUACAGUUCAUCCUGAGAAGACGUGCAACUGAGAGCAAGACAAGAGCCACAGGGAUCUCCAUCAAUCCAGCCAGGAAGAGCCGCCUCACUACAGGUCUGAAGGUCAUCUUGCAUAUCCAUUGAGGUCCCUUUCCAACUUCAGACUCUCCUUGUGGAAUGCCUUUAUGUGUCCAUCCUCCAUUGAUCCUGAUUGGUGUAGUCCUGGUUUGAAGUCACUGAUCUUGAACACGCCGCUUGCAUCCUUUUACACUUGAUUUGGAUACUCUCCUUCCUGCCCAGUGUGUUGGAUAUCGCUCUGCAGCGCCGCUCAGGGCUCUUCAUGUCUACUGGAGGCCUCAAGUAAACGUGUUGCUGUCCAUCAGGUAUGAUUUAGUUGACCAUUCCAAUAUCCCAAGCCAAUCACACAGACCCCCGUAUGAACAUCAAUGCCAAAAGCAGGACACACAUAGAACCCCAUGCCAGAUGGAACCAAAACACACGUAGAACCCCCUGCAAGGUGUGAGUGGGGGACACACACACGAACCCUAGCGCUGCUCAGAAAUCAUCCAUCUCAUGUCAAACCCACACACAACACUGAGCCAUAAAAGGCCAAACACUCAUGCAGGGUAAAAACCAAAUGCCAAAUAACAUUCCAUCAUCCACCCCAGCUCUCCUGCCAGGGCACCCAGAACAGAACAAUCAGUCUCCAGAGACGUAAAUUAUGUACAACAUUCUUCAGUGGCGUCCCACAUUGGUGAUGGAUUAUACUUGUCGUCUCCAAAAUGUGUCCCAGGUUGAUUCAACGUCUCUGAAGUCAUGUCUUUGUAGCCCUGGUUUCCUGAAUGAGGUGCCUUCACAGAUGCAAACGGUGCAGCUUUAGUCGGCCUGAGGACAGGAAGGAGGUCAUCUGUUCAGUAGACCACCCAGUGGAGGGGGUGGCUCUUGAGGAGCAGGAUCCAUAUGGGGAUGGCCCCAAAUAGGACCUUCUUGAAAAUGAAACGUUCCUGAGGAGUCACGAUGCCUGGAGGGGACUGUUGAAUGUGUUCCAUGGUUCUCUGUGUCAGACUGAAGUUGUGUUUUAGUCGUUGAGAUGAGGAGCCCCCUCAUCUCCCCCUGUUGUUUCUCCUUCUGAAUCCCUGUCUCCAUCUUAAAGAACAUUCUAGUCCAUGUAACUGAUGU
ensembl:lncRNA